rnacentral:rRNA from 1 species
UACAGAGGGUGCAAGCGUUGUUCGGAAUUACUGGGCGUAAAGCGCGUGUAGGCGGACAGGUAAGUCGGAUGUGAAAUCCCUUGGCUUAACCAAGGAACUGCAUCCGAUACUGCUUGUCUUGAGUGUCGGAGGGGAUGGCGGAAUUCCCGGUGUAGAGGUGAAAUUCGUAGAGAUCGGGAGGAACACCUGUGGCGAAGGCGGCCAUCUGGAAGACAACUGACGCUGAGACGCGAAAGCGUGGGGAGCAAACAGG